UACGGAGGGGACUAGCGUUGUUCGGAAUUACUGGGCGUAAAGCGCACGUAGGCGGAUUUGUAAGUCAGGGGUGAAAUCCCGGGGCUCAACCUCGGAACUGCCUUUGAUACUGCAAAUCUCGAGUCCGGGAGAGGUGAGUGGAAUUCCUAGUGUAGAAGUGAAAUUCGUAGAUAUUAGGAAGAACACCAGUGGCGAAGGCGGCUCACUGGCUCGGUACUGACGCUGAGGCGCGAAAGCGUGGGGAGCAAACAGG
rnacentral:rRNA from 1 species